AGAAACCACUUGACAACGAAUCAGAAACACGUUGGAGGCGUCAUUCAAAUGCCCGGGAACACAACUGGCUCCAAUUGAAUGCAGCAGCUUGGCACAUGCAUUGAUAGGAGAGUGGAUAGCUAUCAUACCAAGGCCAUAGACAAGGUCAAGGAUAGCAGGGUUUGGUACACGAAUCGGGUUCUCGGUAGGUCCAGGUCCAAACACCAACAGUUCCUUGAAUUAGAAUUGAGGAAAUUCCCUGCAAUCCUCAAACUGGAAAUUGCGAAAACUGUCUCUAACCAGAAUAGAAAGAGGAGUGAGGGGCCCCGGUGCACAACUGAGCAAGAGGACAAGUACAUUAGUGUCUAGUUUGAGAAACAGACGCCUCAGAAGUCCUGAAAUGGCAGCUUCAUUAAAUAGUACUCACAAAACACCAGUCUCAACUUCAACAGUGAAUAUUAUGAUAAUAAUCUGGUUUUUUUUAGCUUUAUUUUGUCAUCAAUUAAGGAGUAGCUGUCAAAUUCUCUAUUUUCACAAAUGACACCAGUUGAAUUGAGAGGAGUUUUUUGUAAUAUAGUGACAAUUAUGUGUUCUAGCUAUAUUUUGGCAUCAAUUAAGGAGUAAUGUCUGUUUUUUGCUUAACAAUUCUCUAGUUUCACAAUUGAUGCCAUUUAGAUCAAGAGUAGGUUUUGUAAUAUGACAAUUAUCUUGUGUUUUUGUGUGACUUUGGCAUCAAAUUCAGGAGUCAUUUCUGGGUUUAUGCUGUCUAUUUCUCUAUUUUCACAACUGAUACCAGUUCAAAUUUGGAAGUUUUUUGUAAUAUUAUGUUUAUAAUCUGUGUUCUUUUGUCAUCAUAUUUUGUCAUCAAUUAAGGAGUUAUUUAGGACUUUUAGCUGGCCAAUUCUUUAUUUUCACAACCAAUGCCAGCAAAAAAAAGAGGAUUCCAUUUUUUUUAAUGGAGUUAAUGUUGUAAAAUUGCAGCAAUAUACUUUAUUUAAUUGAAAGUAAAAUCACAGUUUUUAUACAGAUUAUUUACAUACAUUUUUAGUCUGUAGUUUUAGUCUAUUUCUGGCACCCGUGCUGCCAGACUUUUACCGUAAAUUAACAGGAUUCUAAUUUUAUUUUUACUGUGUAGGCUCUCUUCCACUUUGGUAGUGAUAUCUGAUUCCUUCUCACCUCUGUGGUUGCAUGUUAGAGCUGAGGAGAGAGGGGCUGCAUGACAUUAAUACCUAACUAGUUAACUACGGACAGUGUUUGUUUAACUGGAUGGAAGCUGUGGGCUAGGCAGUCCUCUGGGUCUUCAUGCAUUGGCGCCUCUUUCCCUGGAAACUGAAACAUCCUGGUAACACAGAGCCAAUUUACAACCUGCUGGAUCCUAGAUUUUGUUUGCAAAGAAGUGAAAUUGGCAUUUAUUCAACGCUGCAUUGAAAGUGUUUCUCCCUGGGGGUUUUUGUCAACCUGUCAAGCUCUCUCCCUGACACUCUCCUGUGCUAGGUGGUAUUAGAAUAGAUAUCAAAAUAAUCAGCUAUGUUUUCUCCUCCAUCCCUUGGCCUCCUCCGGUAUUGCCACUCUCUCUCUCGAUCCAAUUUGACAUUCUCAUUGUUUAACAUGGCGUGGAUCUUGGGAUGGUUAAUAUUAUCCCAGCGUGCUGGGAAAGGGGUGGUGGGUAGCCUAGUGGUUAGAGCGAAAGGUUGCUAUAUCGAAUCCCCAAGCUGACAAGGUACAAAUCUGUCGUUCUGCCCCUGAACAAGACUUGCCUAGUUAAAUAAAGGUUCAAUUUUAAAAAAUAAGUCAGGUAAACCUCUAAGUGAAAUUUGGUUGUGGAACACCAGAGAGCGAUCGCCUCUGGCUACAUGCUAGAGACAGAAGGAGAGCCAUCAAAAUUCAACAGCUUGAGGCCGUAAAUCAGAAACCAGAGGGCAUCACUAGACCAGAAUAUAUACUUGAUUUACCGAAACUGCCUGAAAGGUGUCUCCUCAGAAUCCAUUAUAUGUGUAUAAAGAAGGAAGUUUCAAAUUUGUGAUAAGAAUAUGCUCAUUUCAAUUUGUGUUACUGUAGACUGAACAUGUAUACAUUUUUCCUGGAUUUAAUUAAUACUACAUUCUUCCCAAUGCUCCCAGUCAUCUGCCAGUACUAAGUUUGUCUAGGUUCAGGGGCAAAUGUAACUUCUGGUCUCAAGGAGGGUGAAAUCAGACUGUUUAAAGCUACUGUACACAUGGUUUACCUCUGGUUAGGUUAUUUUGUCCUUUAUAUCUUCCUGAUAUGUUUUGUUAAAUGUAUUGCUGCUUAAGCAUGACAGAGAUUUUUUUUAAAGAGAUUCUAACAAUGUUUUUUUCCUUCCUGUUUGACUGAGCUUAACUGAGUGGCUGGGGUGUACUUGGGUGGACAAAUCUAUUCUGACAAAUUAAUCCAGGCCUUGUAUCUGUGCUGCUGUUGUGUGUGAGCGUGUUUUACAUCAUUUUUAUGAUGGAGGAUAAAAUAUUGAAUGUCCUGUAAACUGGAUAAGAUAUUAAAGC
ensembl:lncRNA